rnacentral:lncRNA from 1 species
CCCUGAUUCUUGUCAUCUCGAAAGGAUUUCUUCAAGUUCUGUGGAGGUCGUGAUCCUCCCCUUCCUGGCGCGCCAAAUCUGUUGCGGCCAAUCCCCUCGUCGACUGGUCGUCGAGAAUGAACACCUGCAAGAGAAGUCCACACUGACCGAAGAUGCCUCCGACGGAGACCCUCCGACGGUCAAGGGAGACUAGGCAACAGUAGAAAAGAAUCAGGGGAACUCAGUGAGAGGGUUAGAGAGAGAGAGAGAGUUAGAGAGAGAGUGAGUUCAGGGGCUUCGAAAAGAACCUCUGCAGCACUGUUGCCUUCUCCGUUUUAUAGUAGAGCGCGGCAUGGUGCCGCCAUUAAUGGCGCAGAC